UCUGGUGGUUAUGGCGAGAGUGAAACACCCCAUCCCAUCCCGAACUGGACCGUGAAACCUCUUAGCGACGAUGGUACUGCGUCUUAAGGCGUGGGAGAGUAGUUCGCUGCCAGAU
rnacentral:rRNA from 1 species